UGGUACUUGAGAUAACGUAAGGGAAAAAAAUGAUAGUACCUUACUAUAAGUGUUGUCCAACAUUACUGGUGCCAGAAGACUCGGUAACGCCAGAAACGCAAACGUUAGUCGUCCUAAUCAGGCGUAAAGGGUAAGUAGGCUGCUUUAAAAGUUAUUUGAUAAAAAGCUCUUUAACUUCAAAAGGUAAAGUAUAAGAAUAAUGAAUUAAAGCUAGAAUCAAAUAGAGGAUAAGCCAAAUAAUGUUUAGAGUAGGGGUUAAAUCCUUAGAUACUAAAUGGAAUACUAAAGGUGAAAACAUUUAUCUAAUAUUGAUUGACGCUGAGGAACGAAGGUGAGAAUAGAAAAUAGGAUUAGAGACCCAGAUAUCUCUCACUGUCAACGAUGAAUGGUGGUUGUUAGUUUUAAAAUAAACUAGUAACGAUGUUAACGCGAUAACCAUUCCGCCUUGCGAGUACG
rnacentral:rRNA from 1 species